AGUCGACGGGAUUGAGAGCUUGCUCUCAUGAGAGUGGCGCACGGGUGAGUAACGCGUAUGCAACCUACCUUUAACUGAGGGAUAGCCCAUAGAAAUGUGGAUUAAUACCUCAUAGUUCUUUUGAUCCGCAUGGAUUAAAAGAUAAAGCUCCGGCGGUUAAAGAUGGGCAUGCGUGACAUUAGCUAGUUGGUAAGGUAACGGCUUACCAAGGCUACGAUGUCUAGGGGUUCUGAGAGGAUGAUCCCCCACACUGGUACUGAGACACGGACCAGACUCCUACGGGAGGCAGCAGUGAGGAAUAUUGGUCAAUGGGCGCAAGCCUGAACCAGCCAUCCCGCGUGCAGGAUGAAGGCCCUAUGGGUCGUAAACUGCUUUUAUACACCAAGAAAAACACCCACGUGUGGGUGCCCGACGGUAGUGUAUGAAUAAGCAUCGGCUAACUCCGUGCCAGCAGCCGCGGUAAUACGGAGGAUGCAAGCGUUAUCCGGAUUCAUUGGGUUUAAAGGGUGCGUAGGCGGCUUUUUAAGUCAGUGGUGAAAUCUUGCCGCUUAACGGUAAAAUUGCCAUUGAUACUGAUAAGCUUGAGUACAAUUGAGGUAAGCGGAAUGUGUAGUGUAGCGGUGAAAUGCUUAGAUAUUACACAGAACACCGAUUGCGAAGGCAGCUUACUAAACUGUUACUGACGCUGAUGCACGAAAGCGUGGGGAGCGAACAGGAUUAGAUACCCUGGUAGUCCACGCCGUAAACGAUGAUCACUCGCUGUAUGCGAUACACAGUAUGCGGCCAAGCGAAAGCAUUAAGUGAUCCACCUGGGGAGUACGAUCGCAAGGUUGAAACUCGAAGGAAUUGACGGGGGCCCGCACAAGCGGAGGAACAUGUGGUUUAAUUCGAUGAUACGCGAGGAACCUUACCUGGGCUUAAAUGGGGAACGACAGCUGCCGAAAGGUGCCUUCUUCGGACGUUCUUCAAGGUGCUGCAUGGUUGUUCGUCAGCUCGUGCCGUGAGGUGUCGGGUUAAGUCC
rnacentral:rRNA from 1 species